rnacentral:rRNA from 1 species
CUGGCUCAGGACGAACGCUGGCGGCGUGCUUAACACAUGCAAGUCGAACGGAAAGGUCUCUUCGGAGAUACUCGAGUGGCGAACGGGUGAGUAACACGUGGGCAAUCUGCCCUGCACUUCGGGAUAAGCCUGGGAAACUGGGUCUAAUACCGAAUAGGACCACUUGGCGCAUGCCUUGUGGUGGAAAGCUUUUGCGGUGUGGGAUGGGCCCGCGGCCUAUCAGCUAGUUGGUGGGGUGAUGGCCUACCAAGGCGACGACGGGUAGCCGGCCUGAGAGGGUGUCCGGCCACACUGGGACUGAGAUACGGCCCAGACUCCUACGGGAGGCAGCAGUGGGGAAUAUUGCACAAUGGGCGCAAGCCUGAUGCAGCGACGCCGCGUGGGGGAUGACGGCCUUCGGGUUGUAAACCUCUUUCACCAUCGACGAAGGUCCGGGUUUCUCGGAUUGACGGUAGGUGGAGAAGAAGCACCGGCCAACUACGUGCCAGCAGCCGCGGUAAUACGUAGGGUGCGAGCGUUGUCCGGAAUUACUGGGCGUAAAGAGCUCGUAGGUGGUUUGUCGCGUUGUUCGUGAAAUCUCACGGCUUAACUGUGAGCGUGCGGGCGAUACGGGCAGACUAGAGUACUGCAGGGGAGACUGGAAUUCCUGGUGUAGCGGUGGAAUGCGCAGAUAUCAGGAGGAACACCGGUGGCGAAGGCGGGUCUCUGGGCAGUAACUGAC